AAAAAGGCAAACCCUGGGUUUUCGUGUCCAACUUUGACUGUCCGUUUUAUAUGAAAUUUUUUUAUAAUUCAUAUUUUCAUUGUUGUUGGAUGAUAAAAUAUGAUUAAUAUUUUAUACGUGACUUGUCUUUUUAAUUUUUUUCAUAAUUUUUUUAAAUAAGACGGACGGUCAAACGUUGGACACGGAAACCAGUGUUUGUCUUUUUU
rnacentral:pre_miRNA from 1 species